rnacentral:rRNA from 1 species
UACGAAGGAUGCAAGCGUUAUCCGGAUUCACUGGGUUUAAAGGGUGUGCAGGUGGGGUAAUAAGUCAGUGGUGAAAGCCCCCGACUCAAUCGGGGAACUGCCAUAGAUACUGUUAUUCUUGAGUGUGGUUGAGGCGGAUGGAAUAUGACAUGUAGCGGUGAAAUGCUUAGAUAUGUCAUAGAACACCGAUCGCGAAGGCAGUCCGCCAAACCAUUACUGACACUGCAACACGAAAGUGCGGGGAUCAAACAGG